GGUUGCGAUCAUACCAGCACUAAUGCACCGGAUCCCAUCAGAACUCCGCAGUUAAGUGUGCAUGGGCGAGAGUAGUACUAGGAUGGGUGACCCCCUGGGAAGUCCUCGUGUUGCAACCCC
rnacentral:rRNA from 1 species